GAUGAAGAACGUAGCGAAAUGCGAUAAGUAAUGUGAAUUGCAGAAUUCAGUGAAUCAUCGAAUCUUUGAACGCACCUUGCGCCCUUUGGCUAUUCCGAAGGGCAUGCCUGUUUGAGUAUCAUGAACACCUCAACUCUCAUGGUUUGCCAUGAUGAGCUUGGACUCUGGGGGUCUUGCUGGCCUAUGGUCAGCUCCUCUCAAAUAAAUCAGCUUGCCAGUGUUUGGUGGCAUCACAGGUGUGAUAACUAUCUACGCUUGUGGUUUUCCAUCAGGUAACCUUCAGUGAUGGAGGUUCGCUGGAGCUCACAGAUGUGUCUCUCCUCAGUGAGGACAGCUCUUUGAAUGUUUGAUCUCAAAUCAGGUAGGACUACCCGCUGAACUUAAGCAUAUCAAUAAGCGGAGGA
rnacentral:misc_RNA from 1 species